GUUGUAGCUCAGUGGUAGAGUGCUUGCCUAGUAUGCAUAAGGUCCUGGAUUCUUUCCCAGUACAACA
rnacentral:tRNA from 1 species